GAUCGGUACGGGUUGUGAGAGCAAGAGCCCGGAGAUGGAUUCUGAGACACGAAUCCAGGCCCUACGGGGCGCAGCAGGCGCGAAAACUUUACAAUGCGAGAAAUCGUGAUAAGGGAACCCCGAGUGCCCGUAAAUUCGGGCUGUCCGCCAGUGCAAAUAGCUGGUGAAGAAAGGGCCGGGCAAGACCGGUGCCAGCCGCCGCGGUAAUACCGGCGGCUCGAGUGGUGGCCACUAUUACUGGGCUUAAAGCGUCCGUAGCUUGAUUGUUAAGUCUCUUGGGAAAUCCACCGGCUCAACCGAUGGGCGUUCAGGAGAAACUGGCAAUCUAGGGACCGGGAGAGGUGAGAGGUACUCCAGGGGUAGGAGUGAAAUCCUGUAAUCCUUGGGGGACCACCUGUGGCGAAGGCGUCUCACUAGAACGGCUCCGACAGUGAGGGACGAAAGCUGGGGGAGCAAACCGGAUUAGAUACCCGGGUAGUCCCAGCUGUAAACGAUGCGCGUUAGGUGUAUCGGUGACCACGAGUCAUCGAGGUGCCGAAGGGAAACCGUGAAACGU
rnacentral:rRNA from 1 species